rnacentral:rRNA from 1 species
UACGUAGGGACCGAGCGUUGUCCGGAUUCAUUGGGCGUAAAGAGCUCGUAGGCGGCUCAGUAAGUCAGGUGUGAAACCUCCAGGCUCAACCUGGAGACGCCACCUGAUACUGCUGUGGCUAGAGUCCGGUAGGGGAGCGUGGAAUUCCUGGUGUAGCGGUGAAAUGCGCAGAUAUCAGGAGGAACACCAGCGGCGAAGGCGGCGCUCUGGGCCGGAACUGACGCUGAGGAGCGAAAGCGUGGGUAGCAAACAGG